rnacentral:lncRNA from 1 species
AUGAAUUGCCUCUGGCACCUGGCAACUGAAAUUUCACUAUCUGGAAACGUCCCCUUAUGUCAAACAAUGUGGCAAAUCUCAGAGUAUGAAUUACAAAUGCUGAGUCUUUUUCUUCUUUUUUUAAAGUGCAAGGUUCUUUGGAUACAUCCCAGUGCCUGCUUGGAACAUGACAAAGAAGCAAUUUGCCUCCGAAAUGGACACAUUGCAAAACUCUGUCACGCUACUCUACAGCUGUUCUCCCUUUGGGGCCAGGGGAGAUGAGAUGAAAAUGCAUGUUGCUUUCUCCAGUCCCGCAGAGAGGUAAUGGCAGGGCCUCACUGUGGCCAGAGCUGACUUCAUUUGCACCUUGGCAGAUCUGCAGCAAACUUGAAAUCCAGGUAUUUUUAUUACUAGCUUCAGUCAAAAUUCCAUUCGCUGACACAUCUGUGCUACUUUUCAAGCAGCCCCUUGGGACAGCUGGUGCAGGAGGGCUCUGCC